AAUGGGGGAAACCCUGAUGCAGCGACGCCGCGUGAGUGAUGAAGCCCUUCGGGGUGUAAAGCUCUUUCGACAGGGACGAUAAUGACGGUACCUGGAGAAGAAGCUGCGGCUAACUACGUGCCAGCAGCCGCGGUAAUACGUAGGCAGCAAACGUUGUUCGGAGUUACUGGGCGUAAAGAGUGCGUAGGCGGUUCGCCAAGUUUGGUGUGAAAUCUCCCGGCUUAACUGGGAGGGUGCGCCGAAAACUGGCGGGCUUGAGUGUGGGAGAGGGAAGCGGAAUUCCUGGUGUAGCGGUGAAAUGCGUAGAUAUCAGGAGGAACACCGGUGGUGUAGACGGCUUCCUGGACCACAACUGACGCUGAGGCACGAAAGCGUGGGUAGCAAA
rnacentral:rRNA from 1 species